rnacentral:rRNA from 1 species
GCGCAAGCCUGUGCAGCAACGCCGCGUGAACGAUGAAGGUCUUCGGAUCGUAAAGUUCUGUUGCAGGGGAAGAUAAUGACGGUACCCUGUGAGGAAGCCCCGGCUAACUACGUGCCAGCAGCCGCGGUAAUACGUAGGGGGCUAGCGUUAUCCGGAUUUACUGGGCGUAAAGGGUGCGUAGGUGGUCUUUCAAGUCGGUGGUUAAAGGCUACGGCUCAACCGUAGUAAGCCUCCGAAACUGUUAGACUUGAGUGCAGGAGAGGAAAGUGGAAUUCCCAGUGUAGCCGGUGAAAUGCGUAGAUAUUGGGAGGAACACCAGUAGCGAAGGCGGCC